rnacentral:rRNA from 1 species
CGCCUCUUGACAAAAUAUAAGAGGUCCAGCCUGCCCAGUGACAAAGUUAAACGGCCGCGGUACCCUAACCGUGCGAAGGUAGCGCAAUCACUUGUUCUUUAAAUGAGGACUAGUAUGAAUGGCAUCACGAGGGUUGCACUGUCUCCCCUUUUUAAUCAAUGAAACUGACCCCCCCGUGAAGAGGCGGGGAUAUAACUAUAAGACGAGAAGACCCCAUGGAGCUUUAAACUCAGUAUCAACCGCCUAACAACACAUCAUUACAAUUUGGCAGAUCUGAUUACUAGUUUUCGGUUGGGGUGACCGCGGAGUAAAACAAAACCUCCACGAUGAAAGGACCUAUACUCCUAAUCAUAGAGCCACAGCUCAAAGAAUCAAAAAACUGACAUAAAUUGAUCCAAUUAAUUUGAUCAACGAACCAAGUUACCCUGGGGAUAACAGCGCAAUCCACUUCAAGAGCCCCUAUCGACAAGUGGGUUUACGACCUCGAUGUUGGAUCAGGGUAUCCCAGUGGUGCAGCCGCUACUAAAGGUUCGUUUGUUCAACGAUUAAAACCCU